GACGAACGCUGGCGGCGUGCUUAACACAUGCAAGUCGAACGGAAAGGCCCUGCUUUUGUGGGGUGCUCGAGUGGCGAACGGGUGAGUAACACGUGAGUAACCUGCCCUUGACUUUGGGAUAACUUCAGGAAACUGGGGCUAAUACCGGAUAGGAGCUCCUGCUGCCUGGUGGGGGUUGGAAAGUUUCGGCGGUUGGGGAUGGACUCGCGGCUUAUCAGCUUGUUGGUGGGGUAGUGGCUUACCAAGGCUUUGACGGGUAGCCGGCCUGAGAGGGUGACCGGCCACAUUGGGACUGAGAUACGGCCCAGACUCCUACGGGAGGCAGCAGUGGGGAAUAUUGCACAAUGAGCGGAAGCCUGAUGCAGCAACGCCGCGUGCGGGAUGACGGCCUUCGGGUUGUAAACCGCUUUCGCCUGUGACGAAGCGUGAGUGACGGUAAUGGGUAAAGAAGCACCGGCUAACUACGUG
rnacentral:rRNA from 1 species